rnacentral:rRNA from 1 species
UCCAGACUCCUACGGGAGGCAGCAGUGGGGAAUAUUGCACAAUGGGGGGAACCCUGAUGCAGCGACGCCGCGUGGGUGAAGGAGUAUUUCGGUAUGUAAAGCCCUAUCAGCAGGGAAGAACAAUGACGGUACCUGACUAAGAAGCAUCGGCUAACUCCGUGCCAGCAGCCGCGGUAAUACGGAGGAUGCGAGCGUUAUCCGGAUUUAUUGGGUUUAAAGGGUGCGCAGGCGGAGGUGCAAGUCAGUGGUCAAAUUGCGGGGCUCAACCCCGGACUGCCGUUGAAACUGCAUCCCUUGAGUGCGCGAGAAGUAUGCGGAAUGCGUGGUGUAGCGGUGAAAUGCAUAGAUAUCACGCAGAACUCCGAUUGCGAAGGCAGCAUACCGGCGCGCAACUGACGCUCAUGCACGAAAGCGUGGGUAUCGAACAGGAUUAGAUACCCCCGUACA